GUCUCCGUGGUGUAGAGGUCAGCGCGCUCGUCUGGAAAACGGAAGACGUAGAUUCAAAUUCUACAGGUGCCU
rnacentral:tRNA from 1 species